rnacentral:sRNA from 1 species
GAAAUAACGCUGUCGUGCAGGUGAGAAGCUGCGUUCAGGUUCGAGUCGAGCGAAGCGAGACAACAGCGCAUUGCGCUGGCCCGAAGGGCGAGGCCACAGGCCGAGUCAUCCUGCACGACCCACCA